GGCCUAGUGAUGUAGUGGCUAGCAUGUUGGUCUUCGAUAAUAAUUCUGUUGUUAACCAAAUGUCGCAGGUUCGACCCCUGCCUGGGUCG